rnacentral:rRNA from 1 species
AUUGAACGCUGGCGGCAUGCCUUACACAUGCAAGUCGAACGGCAGCGGGGGAGAAGCUUGCUUUUCCUGCCGGCGAGUGGCGAACGGGUGAGUAAUACAUCGGAACGUGCCCUGUAGUGGGGGAUAACUAGUCGAAGGAUUAGCUAAUACCGCAUACGACCUGAGGGUGAAAGUGGGGGACCGCAAGGCCUCAUGCUAUAGGAGCGGCCGAUGUCUGAUUAGCUAGUUGGUGGGGUAAAGGCCUACCAAGGCGACGAUCAGUAGCUGGUCUGAGAGGACGAUCAGCCACACUGGGACUGAGACACGGCCCAGACUCAUACAGGAGGCAGCAGUGGGGAAUUUUGGACGAUGGGCGAAAGCCUGAUCCAGCAAUGCCGCGUGUGUGAAGAAGGCCUUCGGGUUGUAAAGCACUUUUGUCCGGAAAGAAAUGGCUCUGGUUAAUACCUGGGGUCGAUGACGGUACCGGAAGAAUAAGGACCGGCUAACUACGUGCCAGCAGCCGCAGUAA